GCUGAGGAACGAGGCUCCGGCCGUGGAGCGCCAGACCGAGCCGGAGUGGCCGGGAGGAGGGACGCGCUCCCCGCAGCCGUCGGUGGAAAGUAGUCGCCUGCAGGCUAUUGUACACGAUGAUGGUGGUGUUGGUGAGAUGGAGGCGAUGGGGAUGUGCACCAGCUCUGGCAGCCUGACAUCACUGUCAGUCACAAAACUUCUGAUUCCUGACUGUGCUGGGUCCAUCUUGUCCUCUACUCCUGCUGGAGGCCCUGCAGUGUUGAGUCAGGACGCAUGGUCGGAAAGCUGAAAAUGGAGGCCAGUUUUCGGGCUCCAGACUUAUUGUGACAGAUGCCUGGACGACACUGGUGCUUGGCGCUGAAUCAUCUGUUUAAAUUUAGCAGGUGUACAUUUCUCUCUGUUUGAUGAAUUUUAUAAAUUCAAAAUAAAUUUUACAAAAAUAUGAUUAUUGGCUCA
rnacentral:lncRNA from 1 species